UACGUAGGGGGCAAGCGUUGUCCGGAAUCAUUGGGCGUAAAGAGCGCGUAGGCGGCCCGAUAAGUCCGCUGUGAAAGUCAAGGGCUCAACCCUUGAAUGCCGGUGGAUACUGUCGGGCUAGAGUCCGGAAGAGGCGAGUGGAAUUCCUGGUGUAGCGGUGAAAUGCGCAGAUAUCAGGAGGAACACCAAUGGCGAAGGCAGCUCGCUGGGACGGUACUGACGCUGAGACGCGAAAGCGUGGGGAGCGAACAGG
rnacentral:rRNA from 1 species